UACGUAGGGGGCAAGCGUUGUCCGGAUUUAUUGGGCGUAAAGAGCGUGUAGGCGGCUUGGUAGGUCCGCUGUGAAAACUCGAGGCUCAACCUCGAGAUGUCGGCGGAAACCACUUGGCUAGAGUCCGGAAGAGGAGAGUGGAAUUCCUGGUGUAGCGGUGAAAUGCGCAGAUAUCAGGAGGAACACCGAUAGCGAAGGCAGUGGUCUGGGCCGAUACUGACGCUGAGACGCGAAAGCGUGGGGAGCGAACAGG
rnacentral:rRNA from 1 species